rnacentral:rRNA from 1 species
CUGCGGCGGCUUAAUACAUGCAAGUCGAACGGUAAUUCUGAUGCCUAGCAUCGGAAACGAGUGGCGCACGGGUGAGUAACACGUAUGUAACCUACCCUGAACUGGGGCAUAACCUGGAGAAAUCCGGGCUAAUUCCCCAUAGUAUCCCGAAGAGGCAUCUUUUUGGGAUUAAAGUCUAUAUGGCGGUUCAGGAUGGGCAUGCGCCCCAUUAGUUAGUUGGUGAGGUAACAGCUCACCAAGACUGUGAUGGGUAGGGGUUCUGAGAGGAUUACCCCCCACACUGGUACUGAGACACGGACCAGACUCCUACGGGAGGCAGCAGUAAGGAAUAUUGGGCAAUGGGCGAGAGCCUGACCCAGCCAUGCCGCGUGCAGGAUGACAGCCCUACGGGUUGUAAACUGCUUUUAUACAGGAAUAAUUUUUCGCACGUGUGCGAAAUUGCAUGUACUGUAUGAAUAAGCAUCGGCUAACUCCGUGCCAGCAGCCGCGGUAAUGCGGAGGAUGCAAGCGUUAUCCGGAAUUAUUGGGUUUAAAGGGUGCGUAGGCGGACAUUUAAGUCAGAGGUGAAAUACCCGGGCUCUACCUGGGCUGUGCCUUUGAAACUAGGUGUCUUGAGUACAAUCGAGGUGGGUGGAAUGUGGAGUGUAGCGGUGAAAUGCAUAGAUAUUCCACAGAACGCCGNAUAGCGAAAGCAGCUCACCAGACUGUAACUGACGCUGAUGCACGAAAGCGUGGGUAGCAAACANGAUUAGAUACCCU